ACCGUAUAUACGCACUUUCACCUUCCACCUUUGCUAGCCUCUUUAGUGCCGCACAAUUCUCGCCGAUGCACAAACCCACCAUAUGCCUUCCUCAAAACAGCCACCAUACCUAGCUACUAUGGCAUUUUCAUAGCCAUUCCGAGAUAUAUUGCCAUGCAACUCCCACCGUUUUGUCUCAUGACUUGUGUCUUCACUCUCAUAUUGCCAUUUCAUGAUCAUAAGAUAGCUAGCGAGAUGUUUUCAACGUCAUACGCCAUGCUAGAUCGUUGCACAUCCCGGUACACUGACGGAGGCAUUUCCGAUAGAGUCAUCAUCAUUUUGAGCUUUGAGCUAUGAGUAAAUAAAAGUGUGAUGAUCAUCAUUAUUAGAGCAUUGUCCCAUGUGAG
rnacentral:lncRNA from 1 species